rfam:Formosa sp. Hel3_A1_48, complete genome.
AAAGCAGAUCGCCUUAUCGCUAUUCGCUUUUGCGACUAGAGGAAAGUCCGAACACCAUAGUGCAGCAUAAUGGUUAACAGCCAUCGGCCGUGAGGUUAGGAAAAGUGCAACAGAAAGAAUGUACAGGUUAAGCUGUAGUGAAAUCAGGUAAACUCUAUGCGGUGCAAUGCCAUGUAAACCAGCGUUUGAGCGCAGCACGUGCAAUGCUGAAGGGUAGGCAGCUAGAGCGUAUUGGUAACAAUACGUGUAGAUAAAUGAUAAGGGCUCUUAUGAGAACAGAAUUCGGCUUAUAGAUCUGCUUUUUUU